rnacentral:tRNA from 3 species
UAGGAUGAAAAUCCGUUGGUUUCACGGGACCGUGAGGGUUCGAAUCCCUCUAUCCCCAGC